rnacentral:lncRNA from 1 species
UAACCCAAAAAAUAGACAAUAGUAUUCAAAUGCCUAGAUUUCUAGACAAAAGGAAACACAUUUAGUCACAUCCAUGUCAAAGAAGCAAGUAUAUGGAUUCUUUUCAGAGUUCGAAAACAGAGAACAGAAGGGCUAAAGUAUCGGAAAGUACCUCUUUAGCAUAUGAUGCCUAUGAUUCGACAAAGAAAUACUAAGGCACACCCAUCUCAGAGCAAGAGCAUACCCAAUCAUUAGAUUUUAAAAACAAGUGGGGAAAUAGGAUUAAGUAUCAAAAAGAACAUAUUUACCAACAAAGAAACUCAAAAAUAGAUUUUACUUGUUUAAUUCUGAUUCUUAGAAUUAUAGUGAAAAGAAAGCACUUUUAGGCACAUCCCCCGUAUCAAAGAAGCAGCAUUAUCAGCAUUAUCAUUCAACACAGAGAGUUCAUAAACAGAGAAACAUAGGCUAAAAUAUCAAGAAGUACAUCUUUCGCAAUAAGUUAAUUCUCAAAUAGAACUUAGCAUUCACAUUCCUAGAACUUCAAAAGCAGAGAAUCUGUUGUUUGCUUUCUUAUUUGAUCUUUGGCCAUCAAUUAUUUUUGCUACCAUCACCAUUUAUCGUUCAAUUACUAAAAUUCAGAUACUGAAAACAUUGGAGAAAUUAUUCAAGAACAUUUUGGAAAAUCAAACUAGUUUUAGACUGAAAUGAAUACCUUCAAGCUAACAAUUAUUUCCACAAUGCUUCUCCAAAAGUCAAAAGUGAACCAAAAGUUAAAUUGAGGUAUGAGCUCGGAUUGUUUCCCAUGUCAUCAAGUAGCAGAGAAAAAAGCAAAAAGCAAAAAGCAAAAACCAAAAUCAAUAGCAAUGGGGUAGGCUCAGAUUCGCCUUUUCUCAUACAAAAUUCGAAAAGCUUUGCCAAAAACCAAAAACCAAAAUCAAUAGCAAUGGGGUAGGCUCAGAUUCGCCUUUUCUCAUCCAAAAUUCGAAAAGCUUUGGAAAAAACUGCCAUGGCUGCAAGCAUAAGUUAGCCUUGUGAGACAGGAAAAGACGCCCAAAAAAUGGAUUUCUCCAUUAUCUCAUAGACCAACAAUAUAGGGUAAGGCAUGUCUACAUGUUGUUGUAUCUCAUAGACAUAUCUGAGCUGUAAUGCCAAGAUACAAGAUACGGUUUUUUCGACAUAUCUGAGCUGUAAUGCCAAGAUACAAGAUACGGUUUUUUCCAGCUCAAUAGAUUUAUAGGUCUGUCUUUUUCAGAAACAACAAUCUUCAUAGCCUAUAAUAAAUUGGAACAGAGAGAGUAAUAAAUCAAUCAACUAAGGGUGGUUUUGCAAUCGGAAAAUUUUCAUUUGAGUGAUCAUUGGCGGCGGAGAAUGACAGAGAGUGGCAAAACCACCCAUUGAAACUCCCUACAGCUCUCUGCUUCCACCGCUACCUCAGACAAACUACUGAGAUUUUUGCUAUUUUUGUGUUAUUGUUGCUUCUUAUUUAUUGUGCCCUAAUCAAUUGGGCCUUAUUUCAAAAGUCCAUUCCGAAUCUAAAUCGGGUCGAACUGAAACCAAUAUUCAGAUCCAGCGUUUCAAAUCAUUGGGAAAAAACAGGAUUAGGGCUUUGAGCGAAAAGACAUACAACUCGAUUUUGCCGGAAAAUGGAGUGAAAUUAAGGCUCAUAUAUGUGUUUAUGCUCAGGCAAAAAGAGAGUCCGGCGACGCCGUGGCUGCAAAAACCAACCGGGCAAUGCCCCGCCAAGAUACGGGUCGGAUUAUCUCAAACGCCCCGAUUAAUAAAUGAGCUCAGAAGGAAACUGAUUUUUUUUUAAAAUCAUCAUCGCCUCUUUUACACCGUCGAUUAUACUCACCACCACCACUUCCACCGCCAGCACCGGCAGCAUUAAAUGCUCCGACAAAAGCGUAAAAGAGAGAAAGAAAAAAGGCAUACUGCAUUGAAGAUUCAAACGAUACUAUUUGUGCAAAUCCCCUUAUGUAUCAACAGCGGCUCUAAAAUCGCAAUAAAAGGGCUGUUGGGAUAGUUUGAGAAAUCAUAGGCUAAUAAUGCAGAGAAAGGCAACCGCCCUUUCAAUGAAAAAUCCUACAAUUCUCUGUAGCCUCAUUCUCUCUCUUCCGAGCUUUGUUACAUUUCUUUAGAACUUUUUGUUCGUUUUUUGGACUUUGGUAAUCUGGUUACAACAACAACAACAACAACAACAUACCCAGUAAAAUCCCACUAGUGGGGUCAGGGGAGGGUAGAAUGUACGCAUACCUUACCCCUACCCACAAAGGAUAGAGAGGCUGUUUCCAUGAGACCCUCGGCUCGCAUGAAAAGAUAAUGCUGUCAGAAAAGAAAUAAAAGAAGAGAUAUGUAACAACAAAAGAAGCAAGAACAUUGAUAAUAAUAUCUUAAAAUAGACCAAAUAAGUGAGAGAGGAGUGCAAUAAUGUAAUAAUAUGCAAAAUAACACAAUAGUGUGAACAGAACCUAUACUGCUACCGGACAUAGGCAAAACUCUAUCAGACUACCCGCUUCAAAGAGGGAAAAAUAAUAAAGUAUCCCUAGCCUACAACGUUAAUGGAUAUAGAAUGGAUCCUUUGGGUCAUUAGCUCUUUUCAUUUCCUACUCUUCUAUCAGACUACCCGUUUCAAAGAGGGAAAAAUAAUAAACUACCCCUAGCCUACAACCUUAAUGCUCGACCUCCACACAUUCAUAUCAAGAGCCAUGUCCUCGAAAAUCUCGAGACGCGCCAUGUCUUGCCUGAUCACCUCGCCCCAAUACUUCUUACGCCACCCUCAGCCUCUUCUCGUACCUGCUAAAGCCAACCGCUCGCACCUCCUGACCGGGGAAUCUAUGGUUCUCCUCACCACGUGUCCAAACCACCUAAGCCUCGCUUCCCGCAGCUUGUCGUCCACGGGAGCAACGCCCAUCUUCUCCCUAAUAACAUCAUUCCUUAUCUUAUCCAGUUUAGUAUGACCGCACAUCUAUCUCAACAUCCUCAUCACAGCUACUUUCAGCUUCUGGAUAUGUGAAUUCUUAACUGCCAACACUCAGCCCCAUAAAAACAUAGCUGGCCUAACCACUGCUCUGUAGAACUUACCUUUGAGUUUCAAUGGUACCCUCUUGUCAUACAGGACUCCAGAUGCUAACCGCCAUUUCAUCCACCCCACCCUAAUACGGUGUGUGACAUCCCCGUCGAUCUCCCCAUCUCCCUAGAUAAUAGACCCUAGGUUCUUGGGGAUAACUUGUGAGUCGAGCCAUUUCAUCCACCCCAUCCCAAUACGGUGUGUUACAUCCCCGUCGAUCUCCCCAUCUCCCAGGAUAAUAGACCCUAGGUACUUGAAACUUUCUUUCUUGGGGAUAACUUGUGAGUCAAUCCUAAUCACCCCGUCCACGUCCCCCGACAUGCCGCUGAACUUACACUCCAAAUAUUCCGAUUUGGUCAUACUCAACUUGAACCCUUUGGACUCCAGAGCCUGCCUCCACACCUCCAAUCUCAUUAACACCGCUACGCGAGUCAUCAAUCAAAACUAUAUCAUCAGCGAACAACAUGCACCAUGGCACCUCCCCUUGAAUAUGGUGUAUCAAGGCAUCCAUCAUCAAAGCAAGUAAGAAAGGGCUAAGUGCAGAUCCUUGGUAUAAUCCCAUAAUCACCGGGAAAAUCUCGAUGUCCCACUCCCGCAGUCUUAACCCGAGUUAUAACUCCAUCAUACAUAUCCUUUAUCGUUUCAAUGUAUGCUAAGGCACCCCUUUAAUUUCCAGGCAACGCCAUAGAACGCCCCUAGGGUCCCUGUCAUACGCCUUCUCUAGGUCAAUAAACACCAUGUGCAAAUCCCUCUUCCUCUCCCUGUAUUGUUCCACCAACCGCCUAAUCAGGUGGAUUGCUUCCGUAGUAGAAUUUGGUAAUCUGGUUAUUUAUACUACCUCGUACUUCAAAUGGGUUUUCUUUAAACCCUAAACGCGAAACUGAAAUUUACCAUUAGAAAAGUGGAAACAAGAUGGAGAAUUCCUAGUAUAAUUUUAAAAAUCUUACCCAGAAAAAAAUUCGGUGGCUGCUUGAUCCUUGAAGAGAGAGACGUGUGAAGGAUGAAAUUUGUUUUGGGUUUAGAAGAAAUAGCCUGAUGUCAAGAGAGAAAAGGAGCACCGAAAAAAGAGGAGUGUAGUUUAGGUAUUUUUAACCUCUGAACGGAAUAUAAUACUUCUUUAGGUCAAUCACAAAGUGUGCCAAAAAACCAAUAAAAACAAGCAAUCUCACGAAAAACCAAUCAGCACGAACUCUAUAUACACAAUUAGUGGGUAUUCACAAAACAAGUUACAACUGCAAAAUUUGCUUUAAAUUAUACAACGAGCUUACUUCCUCAUAAAUGUAUUACCUUCCUUGUAAAGGUCUGUGAUUUUAGCUUUUAACUUGUAACACCAACUGCAGAGCUCCUGCAUAAAUAGAUGCAGUGGCAAUACAUUGUUUUUAAAGUUGAGUAAUCGAAUUACACGACAAUGAUGAUGAGAUCAUGGACUUCACCAAUCAGGAUUAGUCGGGAAAAAAUAUCUCAGCAACUAAGUAACCCAAAAAUAGACAUUAGUAUUCAAAUGCCUAGAUUUCUAGACAAAAGGAAACACAUUUAAGCACAUCCAUGUCAAAGAAGCGGGUAUUCUGAUUCUUUUGUGAGUUCGAAAACAGAGAACAUAAGGGCUAAAGUAUCGGAAAGCAUCCAUGUCAAAGAAGCAGGUACUCUGAUUCUUUUCAGAGUUCGAAAACAGAGAACAUAAGGGCUAAAAUAUCGGAAAGUACCUCUUUAGAAUAUAAAAACAGAGAACAUAAGGACUAAAGUAGCGGAAAGUACCUCUUUAGCAUAUGAUGCCUAUGAUUCGACAAAGAAAAAUACUAAGGCACACCCAUCUCAGAGCAAGAGCAUACGCAAUCAUUAGAUUUUAAAAACAAGUGGGGAAAUAGGAUUAAGUAUCAAAAAGAACAUAUUUACCAACAAAGAAACUCAACCAAUCAUUAGAUUUUAAAAACAAGUGGGAAAUAGGAUUAAGUAUCAAAAAGAACAUAUUUACCCUCAGGGGUUGGCCUGGUGGCAAUUGACUUGAGCCUUGGGGUUUCCUCCUUUUCAAGGUCUCAAGUUCGAAACCGUUGGGUGCAAACAAUUUCUGAGGGCCAUCAGACUGGGUAAAACCUAAAUUAACCGUGAUGCACUUGCGGGAAACUCCUUGCACAUGGCAUGUGCACUCCCAUGAUUAGUCGAGACUGGAAGAGACUCUGACACUCGGUGCAAAUAAAAAAAAACAUAUUUACCAACAAAGAAACUCAAUAAUAGAUUUUACUUGCAUGCAUUCUGAUUCUUAGAAUUAUAGUGAAAAGAAAACAUCUUUAGGCACACCCAUAUCAUAUCACAUCUUUCCAAUACGCUAAAUUAUCAAGAAGCACAUCUUUCCAAUAAAGCUAAUUCUAAAAUAGAACUUAGCAUUCACAUUCCUAGAACUCCAAAAGCAGAGAAUUUGUAUUUGAUCUUUGGCCAUCAAUUAUUUUUGCUACCAUCACCAUUAAUCGUUCAAUUACUAAAAUUCAGAUAGUGAAAACAUUGGAGAAAUUAUUCCAGAACAUUUUGGAAAAACAAACUAGUUUUAGACUGAAAUGAAUACCUUCAAGCUAAGAAUUAUUUCCACAAUGCUUCUCCAAGAGUUACAGUAUCAAAAGUGAACCAAAAGUUAAAUUGAGGUAUGAGCUCGGAUUGUUUCCUAUGUCAACAAGUAGCAGAGAAAAAUGCAAAAAGCAAAAACCAAAAACUAAAAUCAAUAGCACUGGGGUAGGCUCAGAUUCGCCUUUUCUCAGACAAAAUCCAAAAAGCUUUGGAAAAAACUUCCAUGGCUGCAGGCAUAAGUUAGCCUUGUGAGACAGGAAAAAACACCCGAAAAAUGGAUUUUCUCCAUUAUCUCAUAGACCAACAGUAUAGGGUAAGGCCUAUCUACAUGUUGUUGUUGUUGUAUCUCAUAGACAUAUCUGAGCUGCCAUGCCAAGAUACAGUUUUUUCCAGCUCAAUAGAUUUGUAAGUCUGUCUUUUUCACAAAUAACAAUCUUCAUAGCCAUUAAUAAAUUGGAACAGAGGAAGUAAUAAAUCAAUCAACCUAGAGUAGUUUUGCAAUCAGAAAAUUUUCAUUUGAGUGAUCAUUGGCGUAAUAAAUAAAUCAACCUACAGUAGUUUUGCAAUCAGAAAAUUUUCAUGAUCAUUGGCAACGGAGAAUGAUAGAGAGGGGCAAAACCACCCAUUAAAACUCCCUACAACUCUCUUCUUUCACCGCUGCCUCAGACUUAAACUAAUGAGAUUUUUGCUAUUUUCAUGUUAUC